rnacentral:rRNA from 1 species
CUACGGGUUGCUGCAGUGGGGAAUAUUGCACAAUGGGCGCAAGCCUAAUGCAGCCAUGCCGCGUGUAUGAAGAAGGCCUUCGGGUUGUAAAGUACUUUCAGCGGGGAGGAAGGGAGUAAAGUUAAUACCUUUGCUCAUUGACGUUACCCGCAGAAGAAGCACCGGCUAAGUCCGUGCCAGCAGCCGCGGUAAUACAGAGGGUGCAAGCGUUAAUCGGAAUUACUGGGCGUAAAGCGCACGCAGGCGGUUUGUUAAGUCAGAUGUGAAAUCCCCGGGCUCAACCUGGGAACUGCAUCUGAUACUGGCAAGCUUGAGUCUCGUAGAGGGGGGUAGAAUUCCAGGUGUAGCGGUGAAAUGCGUAGAGAUCUGGAGGAAUACCGGUGGCGAAGGCGGCCCCCUGGACGAAGACUGACGCUCAGGUGCGAAAGCGUGGGGAGCAAACAGGAUUAGAUACCCCCGUAGUC